rnacentral:rRNA from 1 species
UUAAGCGACUAAGCGUACACGGUGGAUGCCCUGGCAGUCAGAGGCGAUGAAGGACGUGCUAAUCUGCGAAAAGCGUCGGUAAGGUGAUAUGAACCGUUAUAACCGGCGAUGUCCGAAUGGGGAAACCCAGUGUGAUUCGUCACACUAUCGUUAACUGAAUACAUAGGUUAACGAGGCGAACCGGGGGAACUGAAACAUCUAAGUACCCCGAGGAAAAGAAAUCAACCGAGAUUCCCCCAAUAGCGGCGAGCGAACGGGGAGCAGCCCAGAGUCUGAAUCAGCUUGUGUGUUAGUGGAACGGUCUGGAAAGUCCGACGGUACAGGGUGAUAGUCCCGUACACCAAAAUGCACAGGCUGUGAACUCGAAGAGUAGGGCGGGACACGUGGUAUCCUGUCUGAAUAUGGGGGGACCAUCCUCCAAGGCUAAAUACUCCUGACUGACCGAUAGUGAACCAGUACCGUGAGGGAAAGGCGAAAAGAACCCCGGCGAGGGGAGUGAAAAAGAACCUGAAACCGUGUACGUACAAGCAGUGGGAGCACCUUCGGGUGUGACUGCGUACCUUUUGUAUAAUGGGUCAGCGACUUAUAUUCUGUAGCAAGGUUAACCGUAUAGGGGAGCCGCAGGGAAACCGAGUCUUAACUGGGCGUUAAGUUGCAGGGUAUAGACCCGAAACCCGGUGAUCUAGCCAUGGGCAGGUUGAAGGUUGGGUAACACUAACUGGAGGACCGAACCGACUAAUGUUGAAAAAUUAGCGGAUGACUUGUGGCUGGGGGUGAAAGGCCAAUCAAACCGGGAGAUAGCUGGUUCUCCCCGAAAGCUAUUUAGGUAGCGCCUCGUGAACUCAUCUUCGGGGGUAGAGCACUGUUUCGGCUAGGGGGUCAUCCCGACUUACCAACCCGAUGCAAACUACGAAUACCGAAGAAUGUUAUCACGGGAGACACACGGCGGGUGCUAACGUCCGUCGUGAAGAGGGAAACAACCCAGACCGCCAGCUAAGGUCCCAAAGUCAUGGUUAAGUGGGAAACGAUGUGGGAAGGCACAGACAGCCAGGAUGUUGGCUUAGAAGCAGCCAUCAUUUAAAGAAAGCGUAAUAGCUCACUGGUCGAGUCGGCCUGCGCGGAAGAUGUAACGGGGCUAAACCAUGCACCGAAGCUGCGGCAGCGACACUAUGUGUUGUUGGGUAGGGGAGCGUUCUGUAAGCCUGCGAAGGUGUGCUGUGAGGCAUGCUGGAGGUAUCAGAAGUGCGAAUGCUGACAUAAGUAACGAUAAAGCGGGUGAAAAGCCCGCUCGCCGGAAGACCAAGGGUUCCUGUCCAACGUUAAUCGGGGCAGGGUGAGUCGACCCCUAAGGCGAGGCCGAAAGGCGUAGUCGAUGGGAAACAGGUUAAUAUUCCUGUACUUGGUGUUACUGCGAAGGGGGGACGGAGAAGGCUAUGUUAGCCGGGCGACGGUUGUCCCGGUUUAAGCAUGUAGGCUGGUUGUCCAGGCAAAUCCGGAUAAUCAAGGCUGAGGUGUGAUGACGAGGCACUACGGUGCUGAAGUAACAAAUGCCCUGCUUCCAGGAAAAGCCUCUAAGCAUCAGGUAACAUUAAAUCGUACCCCAAACCGACACAGGUGGUCAGGUAGAGAAUACCAAGGCGCUUGAGAGAACUCGGGUGAAGGAACUAGGCAAAAUGGUGCCGUAACUUCGGGAGAAGGCACGCUGGUGUGUAGGUGAAGUCCCUGCGGAUGGAGCUGAGACCAGUCGAAGAUACCAGCUGGCUGCAACUGUUUAUUAAAAACACAGCACUGUGCAAACACGAAAGUGGACGUAUACGGUGUGACGCCUGCCCGGUGCCGGAAGGUUAAUUGAUGGGGUUAUCCGUAAGGAGAAGCUCUUGAUCGAAGCCCCGGUAAACGGCGGCCGUAACUAUAACGGUCCUAAGGUAGCGAAAUUCCUUGUCGGGUAAGUUCCGACCUGCACGAAUGGCGUAAUGAUGGCCAGGCUGUCUCCACCCGAGACUCAGUGAAAUUGAACUCGCUGUGAAGAUGCAGUGUACCCGCGGCAAGACGGAAAGACCCCGUGAACCUUUACUAUAGCUUGACACUGAACAUUGAGCCUUGAUGUGUAGGAUAGGUGGGAGGCUUUGAAGCGUGGACGCCAGUCUGCGUGGAGCCAACCUUGAAAUACCACCCUUUAAUGUUUGAUGUUCUAACGUUGGCCCCUGACCGGGGUUGCGGACAGUGUCUGGUGGGUAGUUUGACUGGGGCGGUCUCCUCCCAAAGCGUAACGGAGGAGCACGAAGGUUAGCUAAUCCUGGUCGGACAUCAGGAGGUUAGUGCAAUGGCAUAAGCUAGCUUGACUGCGAGCGUGACGGCGCGAGCAGGUGCGAAAGCAGGUCAUAGUGAUCCGGUGGUUCUGAAUGGAAGGGCCAUCGCUCAACGGAUAAAAGGUACUCCGGGGAUAACAGGCUGAUACCGCCCAAGAGUUCAUAUCGACGGCGGUGUUUGGCACCUCGAUGUCGGCUCAUCACAUCCUGGGGCUGAAGUAGGUCCCAAGGGUAUGGCUGUUCGCCAUUUAAAGUGGUACGCGAGCUGGGUUUAGAACGUCGUGAGACAGUUCGGUCCCUAUCUGCCGUGGGCGCUGGAGAAUUGAGGGGGGCUGCUCCUAGUACGAGAGGACCGGAGUGGACGCAUCACUGGUGUUCGGGUUGUCAUGCCAAUGGCACUGCCCGGUAGCUAAAUGCGGAAGAGAUAAGUGCUGAAAGCAUCUAAGCACGAAACUUGCCCCGAGAUGAGUUCUCCCUGAGACUUUAAGUCUCCUGAAGGAACGUUAAAGACGAUGACGUUGAUAGGCCGGGUGUGUAAGCGCAGCGAUGCGUUGAGCUAACCGGUACUAAUGAACCGUGAGGCUUAACCU